CCUACGGGUGGCAGCAGUGAGGAAUAUUGGUCAAUGGACGCAAGUCUGAACCAGUCAAGUAGCGUGCAGGAUGACGGCCCUCCGGGUUGUAAACUGCUUUUAGUUGGGAAUAAAAGGGGGCUCGUGUGCCCCGUAUUGUAUGUACCAUCAGCAAAAGGACCGGCUAAUGCCGUGCCAGCAGCCGCGGUAAUACGGAGGGUCCGGGCGUUAUCCGGAUUUAUUGGGUUUAAGGGGAGCGUAGGCCGGCUUUUAAGUCAGCUGUGAAAGCCCGCGGCUCAACCGUGGAAUUGCAGUUAAAACUGGAGGCCUUAAGUGCACACAGGGAGGCCGAAAUUCAUGGUGUAGCGGGGAAAUGCUUAGAUAUC
rnacentral:rRNA from 1 species